GGAAGCGCCGGGCUAGGGAGGAUCCGGCAGGAAGGGGUAUAGGGGGCAGAGUCCACAAGCCAAAUAGGAAUCAGCAGGGUGACACUGGCGCAAAACCAAGCAAACGGCACGAACAGGAGGGUUGUGAGCCAGACUCGGGAAGCGCUUCUUCCGCUCUGCUCUGCGCUGAGUCUCGCUGCUGGUCAGGCCUCUUGGAUUAUUGGCUCCAGUCCUGGGCCCCACAUUUCAGGAGUGUGGUCUAUUGCCAGGAAAAGUUAUGGAAACAGUGAACUGCAAUUUGAGUCCUUUUUUUGUUUGUUUUUGUUUUUGGAAGAGGCAUUUCUGGAGCCACAUGUCAGUCCAAACCCUCUUUCCGAAGCUCCCUUCUUCCCGUUGGGCGGAGGCAGACAGGGUUUGCACGUCCACAAGAAAAGCAGACGAGCAGACGCAUUCCCUGGAUGCAGGGGGGGUUCUGGGAGAGCACUGGGCCUGAGACGGGCCAGGAGAGCAGUUUUCAGUCAGAAACCUUUCGAUGGGAGCUGCUAAAGGACGCCCAGCGAGCUCUUUUGGGUGAGAUCCGAUGUAUGAAGUGACCCGGGCCUGCGGCUGGGCCCUUGGGACGGGAGAACCACAGGCUCGAAUUGGCAAUAAAUACCCUGGAGAGCCAGCGCCCUGCACAGGCUGGAUCCGACCCUCAGCGCUCCCCGCCAGCUGCCCAGACGGACGGACGGACAGGGGCAGCGAGAAGAUGGGGCCAGUCGCCUUCGUCACCCUCUGCCUCCUCGGCUGCCUGGUCUGCAGCCCCGCGCUGGCAGG